rnacentral:lncRNA from 1 species
UUCUUCAUCAAAGAAAUAUGCAAAAUUUUUGUGAUAUAGAAAAGAUUUUCUUCACGAAGCAUGAAAAGAAGGGAAGGUGUUUUUUCGCCGAAGGCUCAAAAAUGGUAUGUAUGCAAAAUUUCAUGCAUCGUAAAGAAUUAAACUAUAAAUAGAUUAUAUAUUACAUUCAAAGUUACAAUGUAUUACACAUGUUACGUUCCAAAUGUUUCUACAAUAGCGUUUAAUCCUCCUUAAGAACUAUUUCUGCAGCUUCGUUCAGUAGCUGGUCGACAACCUUGUCCAUAAUGGCUUCGGCCAUUUUUCUAAUUUCAUUGUCCCCCUUCGGAUGGGGGCCCGGAGAUGCCUCAGCAGGUUCUGAGGGAAGAGAAGAUACGGCUAUAUUACUAUUACAAACCGCGAACAAAGUCUGGAAUUAAAAAUUACAACAUAAUAAAAACCACUAAUUAAUACCUAUUUGCCCUUCGGGCUCUGUACUUUUCUCGGCAGCUUCUGUCACUUUUCUAGCAUCGUUGAUGCCUUUUUCACUCUUUUGAAUAAUUUCUUGUGCCAUUUCUCGGCCGCCGUUGUCCCAGAUAUCGGUGAAGAAUUUUCCGCCGACCAUGCUUGCUUCGGCUGAGGGGUCUUUAAUGUCUUCGGAGGACAAAGUAGCUUCGAACUGCGCUAAGGAUUUUUCAUGCUCGCAACCUUUCCUCUCCAAAACAGUAGCAAUUCCUCUAGCACCCGAAAAAGCACAUAUGUCACUGCGGUUAUUCAGGAUUUCCUCGAAGGCCUCUGCUUCGUGACUGAUUCAUUCCAUUGGACCUUCGGGAUUGCCUCUUGAGAAAUUCUCUUCACUAGAGAAUGUGCCAACGUUGGCGAAGCUGGAUUUUAUCUUCUUAACGCACUCUAUGGAUUUAACAUAGCAUUUUCUCUGGGAUGCACGAAGCUCUUUAACACUUAUUUCUAAAUGAUUGGCCCAUUGAUCACUAAGCUCUCGUUUUGUCUCUUCAAGUAUAUGUUCUUCUUUAGCUCUAGCUAGCUAUUUCUGAAGAUCUUUAAUUUCACGUUUUUGGGCUUCAGCUUGGGCCUUUGAGGUAGCUUCGUCCUCUUUUACCUUGUCCACCAAUGUAAGCAGAAUUUUAUCCUUUUCCAGAGCUUCGUUUCUCAGUUUAAUAACCUCUGAUCGUAGGUUGUUGAAAGCAAUUUCAUAGCUCUCGUCUUCGGCAUUCUUUUGCGCUCUCAACGCGUUGCUUAGUAUUAAACCCUAUAUGUAAAAGAGUUGGCAUAAGAAUAAAAGAAUGAGUUGCGAAUUAUAAAAUUUCCAAACGCGCAGUUCUCAUACCUUCAGACUAUUGUACGCAAGACUAUCCGCAAGAUCGACCUUCGUCAUAGCGCAUAAUCCAGCUUCAAGCUUCGGAAACCCCAUACUCCUAGCCAUCUCCCGGCACACAGAUAAUUCUUUGUUGUCUGGGAGGCAGUAUAGGAAGUCAUCUUUGUCUGUCCCAUUGAACACUAGUGCCCCCUUCGGAUAUUUCAAUUCUCUGGCAUAGUGAUUAGCUUCAAAAUUUUCUUCUUCGGAUAAUUUCUUUCCCGAAGCGUGUCGCACAGUAUAAUUGUAUAUUUUUGAAGGUGCUUCGGGGGCGGCAGUGUCGGUUUCUUCAACCAAAAUUGGCUCUGAUAUUUUUAUUUUCUCGGCUGCCUCUGCAAUGUUCGUUUCUUCGGUUUCAAAAGGUUUUACCUUGGUUGGCUCUGAAGGCCCAGCUUCAGUUUCAAAUUGUUGCUUCGAAGCUUCGGCACCAAAGGCUUCAGUAGACACUUCCGAAGUUUCAACAGUUCUCUUUGGAGUUAUGCUUGAAGAUUUAAUUGUCUCCAAAACAUCUAAUACAUUAACCAUUCUUUUUCUUUUUGGGGUUACGAUUGGACCUUUCGGCACCAAAACUUCUGAUGUUUUUGCUUUUUCGGUCCUUGGUUCUUCCAAUUUUUCUGUUGCUGGCACUUCGGUCAGCUCUUUGAUUUCUGGCAGCAGAGUCUUUGGUUCUUCCAAUUUUUCUGUUGCUGGCACUUCGGCCAGCUCUUUGGCUCCUGGCAGCAGAGUUGAUUCCUUAGCCUUGGGGGCCGAAGAGGUCUCACCGGCGAACUCAGGCACUGUGGCUAGUUCAAUGUAACGUGGCCGGUGUGUAAGAACCUUUACCCUUUUCCUCUUCGGCGCCGGCUCAGUAGGAGCGGCUGAGGCAGUUUCUUUCGCAGAAGAAGUGUUCUUUCUUUUUUGACCCUGCACUGGAUAAUGGUAGUCGGGGUACACGAACCCAAUUGCGUCAAAUACUCAGUUCAGUCUUUUCUUUUUUCGACCUCCGAAAGCUGCUGACAAUGCAGUAUCUUCGGCCUUUGAAUAUACUCCAAGCAGUUCAUCACUUACAGUUUCAAUGCUUUUUAGCCAGUCAUCAUCUGGCUCAACGAAUUUAUCUCCAAACUUAAAUGUGUACUUCAGCCUGACUAGUCCACUUUCGUCAGUCUCUUUAAUGUUCUCCUGCGGCAUCUCCCAUUUUUCCACAAGCGGCCAUACUCUGAAGGCAAUGUGUUCUUGGACCAAAUCCCUCGUCCCAAUAAAAGAGCAAACAACUCCGAAGGCUCUCGGCAUUCUUCGGCUGCUUCAUUCAUUUCCACCUUCGGCCUCCGCAGGCCGAAGCGUUGCCAGAUGGGAUGCAUAAUGAUCUUCUUUAUAUCUUCUCGAGAUUUCAAGUCAUUCUUCACGUAAAACCAUUCCGUCAUCCAGUCGCCAGGCCAUCUCUUUUGAAAAGUCGGCACGGGGCAGCUUGACCCAGACCGAGAGCCGAAGCUGUAGCAGCCAAAGUUGUUGUGAUAUUGUUCCUUACCCUAGGGUUUUGUCUCAUAUAACAAUUCGUAUAUGUUGCAGAAGCUUUUCGCAUCAGGUUCCAAGCCUUGGCUUCUCACGGCCCACACGAAGAUAUUCAUCCUUAUGAUUUCUUCGGGGGUAAGUUGGUGAAGGUAGAUUUCAAAUAUCUUCAGCACCUCUACAACAAAACUGCUUAGGGGAAAUCGUAGUCCAGCUUUCAAGAAGCUUCGGAAUACUACGACUUCAUUUUCCUCAGGAGUUGGACAAGUUCUCUCUCCUUCGUCGGCCCUCACAACGGACAAGUCCCGGAAAUAUCUUCCCCUCAUGUUGACAAGAUGAUUUUCUUUAAUACUUGAUUUGCCGAAAACCGCAUGGCUUGGUCGCCAAGGUCGAUCUUCGGAGUCUUCACCACCACUAUCCACAUCAUAGCUGUCGCUGUCACCAGUAUCUUCAGAUAAACCUUCUAAAAUUUCUUUGGUGAUCUUCUCUGUAUUAGUCUUCGACAUAGAUUGAAGAAAAACCAGAUGCAUUUCCUCAGAAAGACUCAGCUUCGAACCACCAACAACUUUGUUAUCUUCAGACAUCCUUGCAAACGCUAAGAAAGUGCUUUCAACGCCGAAGCCUUAAAAUUUAAAAGGCCGAGUAAAGGCUGUUGCGCGUAGGCUAAAGGUUGGGUGAGUAAAAACAGUUGGCAAGAUAGCGUGUCAAAUAACUCGGGGUGAGCUCUUAUUUAUACGCCCAGGGCGUUGGAAACUGGAGGGUCCCGCUUGUCAAAGACUGUUGCUAUUCUAGCAAAGAGAAGGUGUUUUUUCGGACCUUCGGCUUAAGGCCUUCGUCCAUUUCGCAAUAUGAAUUUAUCAUUACAGCAAAAUUAAUAUUGCGAGGGGCUACUGUUGGGGGCCUUCGGCUUCCGAAGGUCCUCAAAAACGUGAUUUGACAAAUGUUUUCUAAGUAUGCGAGCAGGUAUCUUCGGAAUCAGGUUGCGGGUAUACAGAAACAUGGUCAAGACGAAGCUUGACUGGGACGACGAUCACGACGAAGGAUAAGAUGAUCACGAAGCUACGUGCAGAAGAGCUUCGGCAUAACGACGGGAAGGGGAAACCGACUUUAAGAUGAAAAUCCAAAUUAGACCUCAAAGAAUUACUAUAGAGUUAUUGAUAAAUGUAAAGGACAUUAAUGUAAUCUUGCAUGGGCUGCGACCCGUGCCUAUAAAUAGGUGAACAAUAUUCCUGUACUGUUCACGCUGACUUGGCAUUCACUUUUGCGUCACACCUGUAUUCUCUUUCCUUCAAGCCGAAGGUACAUUUGUAAUUUAUCAUUGUUUACAUAAGCAAUAUAAAUGGAGAUAGAUUAAUAAUAAUGUUUACAGAAAUUAUGUUACUUUCUGUACUUUGUUCGAAUGUUCUCCAUCUUUUUAUCAUGAUCAUGAAGAUAUGUCCUUCAUGACCUUCGUCCUAAAUUCGUUAUAUCCAAAGGGAAAUAAUGAUUUGAAGGACGAAGGGCUUUGAUAUUUAACAUUUUAUGUUGCCUUGUUCUUGAUUCAUAGCAUUUGAGAACAAGUCCCAACAUAUUGCAUAGUAAAUAUUCAUAUGAAGCUAACGCAACUGGAAUGGCUCGAUUCGGAGUUAAAAUGGGGAAGUUAUGAAUUUCCCAAGUUUUAUGUAUUUGAUAUAAGAUUAAUUAGGAAAUAAAUUUUAAAGUGACUUUCAUGUCAAAACAGUGGCACUAUUUGGUAAACAACAACAUUACAAAAUUAUAGGAAUUAAAAUGGACUAAUUUGAAUUUAACAUGAAUUUCCUAUUGAUUAAACAAAUUCUAGCAAUUAUUUUUAUAUUAAAAAUUCCUUUCCAAAUUAUUUUUCUCUGAUUUUACUAACUCUCAAUACUACGCGCCAAUUACAAAGAAGUCCAGGGGCUUUAUCAAAAGAAUCCCCAGACCCAGUCAACAGUGCUCGGGACGACGGGUUUAUAUCUAAUUUCUGUGGGGUCUCUUUUGUAAAACGUACGAGGCCAAAGGGUUACGGUUAACUCUAGACCACUCGAUCCGCUACGGACGGCCUAGAUUCAAGAUCGUGAAUGAUUAUUUCUGCUCUAAUCUUAACCAUACCUUACCGAUCUAACGGUCACCGUUUCCAACCUGUUGGGCCCAUGCUUCGUUGCGCCGAAGGUCUUGCGUGAAGAAGCAGCUUCGGCUGAAAUCGUCCCCAGGAAAUGGCCGAAGGUUCCUUUUUAUAGAGCUUCGGCGUUGCAAACCGACAUAAAGAUAGAAUGACCUUUUUAUCCUUAGAGGUCUAAGAUAAUGUUGUAAACUUUUGUAAAGGGCAUAAUUGUAAUUCGUCACAGGCUGCGUCCUGUGUCUAUAAAUAGAUGAACAGUACCCCCGUACUGUUCACACGCUGACUUGGCAUUUGCUUUUGCGUCACGCUUGUACUUUUUACCUUCUCUCAGGACCGAAGGUACAUUUGUAAUUUGAAAUCAUUUCUAUUUUUCCAUGUUAAUAAAAUAGAAAUGAUUCUAUGAUGAUGCUUAUAUUAUAUUUCAUGCUUUAUAUGAGUCCUUCGUCAUUACUUGUUAUGUUUACGAAGGUAUGUCUCUUAUGACCUUCGUCCGAAAUUCAUUAUUUCCCGAAGGGACAUAAUGCUUCGAAGGACGAAGGACUUUAACACUUAACACUUUUUAUGUUGCCUUGUUCUUAACUCUUAGCAUUUGAGAACAAGUCCCCAACAUUGGCGCCCACCUCCGGUGAACUCACUUCCACUUUUCUGAGCUGAUGGCUUCGUUCAACAAUCAAGCUGGAGUUGCUUCGGACCCGAAGCUGGUGCUCCCGAUCACAGGUGGCUCGUCCUCAGAGCCAGCUAACAAGAAGCAGAAGAAGGAAGCGCAGAGAAGAGUACAGCAUGUUGGGGUGCAAGGACCCUUCAUCAAAUCAAGAUGGUCUCACAUUCCUAUUACCUUCUCUCAAGAGGACCUUCAGCUCAAAGAUUACCCACACAACGAUGCCAUGGUUAUCUCUUGUGUUAUCAAAGGAUUUCUGGUUCACAAUGUCUUGGUCGAUACAGGCAGUGCAGCUGACAUCAUAUUUGCUAAAGCCUUCAGACAGAUGCAAGAGCCAGAAGAUAAGAUUCAUGAUGCUACACAUCCUCUUUGUGGCUUCGGAGGAAGACAGAUUGUAGCACUGGGCAAGAUCACCAUGUCAGUAACCUUCGGAUUCAUCAACAACACUAGAACUGAGCAAGUUGUGUUUGACAUUGUUGACAUGGAAUAUCCUUACAAUGCAAUUAUUGGUCGUGGUACUCUUAAUGCCUUCGAAGCAAUCCUUCAUCCUGCCUAUCUUUGCAUGAAGAUACCUUCGGACCAAGGGCCUAUUGCUAUCCAUGGAAGCCAGGAAGCUGCUAGAAGGGCCGAAGGAAGCUGGACCGACUCCAAGGCAAUCCAUAAUAUAGAUGGAACUGAAGCUUGUGAACAGUACAAAUUCAGAAGGGAGAAGGCAGCUUCAGCAGAUCAGCCGAAGCCCAUGCUAUUGUGUGAGGACAUAGCAGAGCAGAAGGUGCUGUUGGGCUCGCAAUUAUCUGAAGACCAGGAGAAAACCUUGAUAAGGUUUUUAUUCAACAACAAAGAUGUUUUUGCAUGGUCGGCUAAUGAUCUCUGUGGAGUAAAUCGGGAUGUUAUUGAACAUUCGCUCAAUGUUGACCCAUCCUUCAGACCCCGAAAGCAGAGGCUUCGGAAAAUGUCUGAUGACAAGGCCGAAGGGGCUCGCAAUGAAGUAAAAAGACUCCUCAGUGCAGGAGUUAUCAGAGAAGUGAAGUAUCCAGAGUGGCUAGCUAACACUGUUAUGGUGAAGAAGGCCAAUGGCAAGUGGAGAAUGUGUAUCGAUUUCACAGAUCUCAACAAGGCUUGUCCGAAGGACGAAUUCCCGUUGCCAAGGAUAGACUCUCUAGUCGAUGCAGCAGCUUCUUCAGAGCUCAUGAGUCUCUUGGACUGUUACUCAGGAUAUCAUCAAAUCUGGAUGAAAAAGGAAGAUGAGCCGAAAACUAGCUUCAUAACUCCAAGUGGCACGUAUUGCUAUCUUCGGAUGCCUGAGGGGCUCAAAAACGCUGGAGGAAGUUUCAGCAGAAUGACUGCGAAGGUUCUUCAGUCUCAAAUAGGCAGAAAUGUGUUGACCUAUGUUGAUGACAUUAUCGUCAAAAGCACGAAGCAGGAAAAUCAUAUUGUUGAUCUGCAGGAGACCUUCGCCAGCUUCAGACAAGCUGGUUUGAAGCUGAAUCCAGAGAAAUGUGUCUUCGGAGUAAAGAAGGGUAAAUUUCUUGGAUGCUUGGUUUCAACAAAGGGAAUCGAAGCUAAUCCAAAUAAAAUCGAAGCUAUACUUCGAAUGGAGCCACCAACUACAAGAAAAGGGGCCCAAAGAUUGACAGGAAGGCUGGCAUCUCUCAACAGAUUUAUAUCCAGAUCAGCAGAAAGAAACUUACCAUUUUUCGAGGUGCUGAAGUCAGCCGAAGUCUUUCAAUGGGGCCCAAGUCAACAAAAAGCCUUCGAAGAGUUGAAGCAAUACUUGAUAGAUCUCACAACAUUAACUCCGCCAACGCCAGGGGCUCCUCUGUUGUUAUAUGUGGCAGCUUCGCACUCAGCAGUAAGUGCGGCGCUUGUCCAGGAGAAGCUUUAUGGCCAGCUUAAGAAGCAAGUUCCAGUGUAUUUUGUAUCUGAGGUCCUUAGUGUCUCAAAGAAAAAUUAUACAGAGCUGGAGAAGGUAUUAUAUGCCGUUUUAAUGGCAUCCAGGAAGCUUCGGCAUUAUUUUCAGGCAUACAAUAUCAUUGUUCCUUCUUCGCAGCCGUUGAAGGAUAUAAUGAGAAAUAGAGAAGCUACUGGACGGAUUGGGAAAUGGGCUGCAGAGCUCAACGAAUUUUACAUUGAUUAUGUGCAUAGAUCUUCGAUCCAGUCUCAAGCAUUGGCAGAUUUCAUUGCCGACUGGACGCCAGGGGCUCAGGAUGAAGAAGCAAAUAAAGAUGCCGAAGUGUGGACAGUGUUUUGUGAUGGCUCUUGGGGAAUCUUCGGAGCAGGUGCAGCUGCUGUGUUGGUUUCACCAUCCAAGGUCAAAACUUGUUAUGCAGCAAGACUUGAUUUCAGCUGCACGAACAAUAUUGCUGAGUACGAAGCCCUGCUUUUGGGCCUUCGGAAAUUAAAGGCAAUGGGAAUCAGAAGGGCAAUUCUUAAAACUGAUUCCCAGGUGGUUUCGGGUCAUGUUGACAAAAGUUGCAAGGCUAAAGAUCCGAAGCUUGAAAAAUAUCUAGAUACGGUCCGAAGGAUCGAAGCAUCCUUCGAAGGAUUCUCUGUCAAGAAUAUUCCUCGAGGACAAAAUGAGCAUGCUGAUUUGCUAGCUAAGUCUGCGGCACAGGGGCUGCCGUUACCUUCGGAUGUGUUCUUCGAAACAAUAAAGGCACCUUCAGUGGAGCUCCUUGAAAGAGCAGUCCUCAACAUAUCUCCUGUUUACAGCGAAGAUUGGAGAACUGAAAUAAUCUCUUACCUUCAGGGUAAGUUCCUUUCAGAUGACGAAGCUUACAAUAAAAGAAUAGAGGCAAGAGCUCGUCCGUAUGUCAUGAUAGAAGGGGAAUUAUACAAACAUGGAGUUUGCGCUCCGCUGCUCAAGUGCUUAUCUAGAGCCGAAGGUAUAGAGUUGAUGAAAGAGAUACAUGCAGGCCUGUGUGGAUCCCACAUCGGAUCCAGGCCAUUACUUGGGAAAGUCUUCCGCCAAGGGUUUUAUUGGCCGAAGGCAGCUUCGGAUGCGGCGGAGUUAGUGCAAAAGUGCGAAGGUUGUCAGAAAUGUGCAAGAGAUCAAAAACAACCUUCGUCUUUGACACAGCUGAUACAACCCAUCUGGCCAUUGCAAAGGUGGGGCCUUGACUUGUUGGGUCCAUUACCACCGGCUCAAGGGAAUCUAAAAUAUGUUAUAGUGGCUGUGGAGUAUUUUUCCAAGUGGAUUGAGGCGAAGCCAUUGGCCACAAUAACUUCGGCCACUGUCCAAAAGUUUUUCUGGCAGAAUAUUGUCUGUCGCUUCGGGGUACCGAAGGCAAUCACUGUAGAUAAUGGAACGCAGUUUGACUCCGAAGCUUUCAGAAAUUUCUGUGAUCAAAUUGGAACGAAGAUCCAUUUUGCAUCAGUCAGGCAUCCGGAGUCAAAUGGGCUCGUUGAAAGGGCCAACGGCAUUAUAAUGACAGGAAUAAUGAAGUUAAUCUUCAAUCAACCCAGGGGAAAGUGGCCAGAUCAGUUAAUCAAAGUGGUGUGGAGCCACAAUACAACAACAUCAAGGUCUACAGGCUUUACCCCAUUCAAAUUAUUAUUCGGUGACGAAGCAAUAACUCCGGAGGAAGCAAAAGCUGGAUCAAUAAGAGUAGUAGCUUCGGCAGAAUCAGGUCCCGAAAAUGCUUGCCUUGUGGAAAAGGAUGCUUUAGAAGGGAUCAGGCUUCAGGCCGUGGAGAAUAUCAAUAAAUAUCAGGCUGAAACAGUUAAAUGGCGAGAUAGAAAAGUCCGGCUAAAAAAUAUUGAGCCGGGACACUUGGUGCUUCGGAGAGUGGCUAACCCAGAUACAGUGGGUAAGCUACAGUUGAAAUGGGAAGGACCAUUCUUAGUAGUAUCUUCGUCAAGGCCUGGAUCAUACAGAUUGAAGGACAUGGAUGGCAACGAAAUUCCAAGGUCUUGGAAUGCGGAUGAGCUUCGGCGAUACUAUGUAUAACAUGAUGUAAUUUUUUAUGUUUUUUCUUUUCUUUUUCAUGGCACCCUUUUCCUUUCCGAAGGGGGAGAAAGGUUUUUAAUGGGGCCAUCAUGUGUAAUUUCCUUUUUUAGUCUUAUAAGAGCAAAAUCCCCCAAAAAAUGUAAAUGUAACAGCUGAGAACGCACCAUCGAGUGCAGAAACUGAAAAAGAAAAAAGAGAAGAAGCUCCAAAGACGUUCCUAAGGGAAUGCAGAGCUUAUACCGCCUAAGUAAAAGGCGAAGAAACUCCAAAGACGUUCCUAAGGGAAUGCAGAGUUUAUACCGCCUAAGUAAAAGACGAAGAAGCUCCAAAGACGUUCCUAAGGGAAUGCAGAGCUUAUACCGCCUAAGUAAAAGGCGAAGAAACUCCAAAGACGUUCCUAAGGGAAUGCAGAGUUUAUACCGUCUAAGUAAAAGACGAGGAAGCUCCAAAGUCGUUCCUAAGGGAAUGCAGAGCUGAUGUGUGGUUGAUUCCAAGGAAAUAAUGGUUGAGUGUGGCUUCGGUUAUAUGCUUUGGACAUUCAUUCGCACAUUACAUCAUAGCAUUUGCAUUCAUAAGCAUUCAUUCAUAGCAUUUGUGUUCCUAAGUGGUUGCUUCGGCAAAAGGAAGAAGUGGUCUUUUAUGUUUCGUCAUGUACAAAAAGAAAAAGCUUCGGCAAGAAGAAGAAGCGGUCUUUUAUGUUUCGUCAUGUACAAGAAAGAAAAAGCUUCGGCAAGAAGAAGAAGCGGUCUUUUAUGUUUCGUCAUGUACAAAAAAGAAAAGCUUCGGCAAGAGGAAGAAGCGGUCUUUUAUGUUUCGUCAUGUACAAAAAAGAAAAGCUUUGGCAAAAAGAAGAAAUGGUCUUUUAUGCUUCGUUGUGUCCGAAAAGAAGGGAAGGUGUUUUUUCGCCUUCGGCUCAAAAUACUGAUUUCGUCCACAUCAAAGCGUCUCAAUAAAAGGGUAAGAAUAUAUUACAAGGUAUGAACAAAGUUCCUUGAGAAUAGAUUAAUUGUAUUUACAAAAAGUUGUUACAAAUUCUCCUGAGUUUUUUCUAGUCUACUCCUAAUAAUCUUCGUCAGGUUUCUGCUUCGGCGGCAUAUCCUUUAAGUAUCACCUUCAGCUUCGUCAUCCUACAUGAAUCAAGGUAUCCCGAGUAAAAAUCAAGUGUGAAGGAGGAGGUAAGUACAAAGUAUGAUUUCUUACUGGUUCAAGAUGACUUCGAGCUUCGUCCCCAGCCUUCUCUCGCCCGCCUUUUGUCCAUAUCAUUUUUAUGAAUCUAUUUGAGAUGCUCCGGGCGAGGUCAGGAAUGUCGUCGAGAAUUGAUGGAGACAGGGCGAAGUUGGGCCUGUUGACAAUCUUUCCAUGCUCGCAGCCAGCCUUCAGGAAUGCUGCAGCAGUACCCCGAGAAGCUACCCAGGCACAGAAGUCACCAUGCCCAGCUAUAACUUCGUCAAGUUCUUCAAUUUCAGCUUCGAUAUGAUCGAAGGCUUUUGGUAAAUCUUCAUCCGAAGGGGUAAAUUUCCCGCUGCUGGCUCCAACUGAGUAAAAGAUCUUCUUUAGUUGUUGGAUACAAUUGUUGCUAAAAUUCAAACAUUUAUCCUGAAGGCUUGUUAAUGAUUUCUUCAAAUUUGAGUUGGCUUGGACUUCGGCUUCAAGUUUCGAGUCAAGUUUUAGCUUCUCUUGUUCAAAUUGUUUUGAUUGGCAGAGAAGCUUCGAAUUCAAUUCUGCUACUUUGGCUUCAGUCUCUGCCAGCAAGCCUUCGGUUGAUUGAAGUUCGAAGUCUUUCUUUUCAAUAAUAGCUGAUUGUUCUUUUAUCUUGCUCUCUAAAUUUUCAAUUAUAGCUUCGUGCUUUUUAUCUUCUAGAUCUUGCUGCAUCCUCAAAGCUUUGCUUAGAAGCAUGCUCUGCAAAUAAACAACCUUCGUUAAAAAAUAUUGCCAUUAUUAAAAAACAAUAGAAGUUAGAGAGAAGGAUGUUUACCUUGAAAUUUGAAUAAAAUAAGCUGCCGACGAUAUGUUGUCGUCGGUAGCGGCUGAUGUCUGUCUCUAGUUUCGGAAAACCGAUACUCUUUGAUAGAGUACCGAUGACCUUAGCCCCAGCUGAGUCCCGGAUGCAGCCCAGUUUUUCAUCAUCAAUGCCUCCAAAUAGAAGAGCUCCUGGCUUGUAUCCGCAAGAUUUGGCGUAUUCCUUAAGCUCUUCUUUUUCGGCCUUCGACAGUUUUUGCCCGACUAAAUUUUGAAAUGAGUAGGCUUCGUCGUCCGAAGUGUCUUCGGCUAUUUCUUUCCCUUUCCCAGGCACUGUGGCCAUGGUUUCUUCAGCAGUGGUGGCAGCUUCUUCUGCAGCCAUGUCUGUUAAAAUUUUGUUGAUGUCUUCAAUAGUAGAUUCUAAGUUUACAUCUUCGGCUGUAGCGGCUUCGGUAGCCGUGACCUCCGAAGGUGCGACUUCGACAUUUUCUGUGCCCACAACAGCUGGUGUUUUCUGGAUUGACGCCCUCGGUGGCGUCUUGUCAAUAACUUCUGUUACGGCAAUAAUUCUUUGCCUUUUCGCUUUGGCUAUCUUCGUUUUUUCCGGCUCCGCCACCUUUUGAAAAAGCUUCGUCAGUCGAGGCCCUAAUGGACUUAGCUUCGUGGGCAUGGGUUCAGUCAUUACCUUUAGAAUUUCCUCCACGUCGCUAGUAGAAGGUGGUGUGGGGGUCCCCUCUUCUUCGGAUAGUUUUCGCUUUGGAGUUGAUAUUUUUCUCUUGACAAUUUUCUUCUUUUUUGGUGGUUGUUCUUCAUCCUUGUUUAAAGCUUCGGCCGCUCUUUUUCUUCUCUGGCCCUCAGCACCCUUGUUCAGCUGCGCAUAAUCAGGAUAUUCGAAACCCAGUGCAUCAAGCACUCGGUUCAGCCUUCGCUUCGGACGGGUGCCGAAGGCUGCUGUCAUCAGUUGAUCUUCCUUUUUCGAAUAAUUUCCAAGAAUUUCAUUACACAUCACCUCAACUGUAUCCAGCCACUCUUGGCAGGGCUUCUUAAAAUAUUUCUUGAAUUUGAAGUGGUAAGGAAGCCGGACAAGAUCCCCUUCCUUCUUCUCCCCCUUUAACUUUGGCAUUUCCCAUUUUUUCAGAGUAGGGAAGACUCUGAAUGCUAAGAAUUCUUGAACCAGAUCCCUGGUACCAAUAUGCUCUGCAACGAUUCUGAAUUCAUCCAUUGCCCGUUGAGUUUGACCCUCUGGUGUCAUGUUGCAGUGGGGUCGGGUUUCUCCAAAAGUUAGCUCGAGUGGACUUUGCACAAGCUUCUCCUUGUCCUCAUCAACCUUGACAUAGAACCAUUCUGAUUUCCAGCCUGCCGGCCAUUUGCUUCGGUAGCUGAUUACAGGAAACUUUGCGGUUUUCCGGUAGGCAAAAUUGUAGCAACCGAAGUUUUCAUGAAGCCCAUCUUUUCUGGCCUUUGUUUGAUAAUGCAAUUCAUGAACUCGACAGAAACUGUCAGCAAAAGGCUCCACUGCUUGGCUUCGGAGGGCCCAAAUAUAAACGCUAAGCCUAACGAUAGCGUUAGGAGUUAACUGAUGAAGGUAGAUGCCAAACCUCUUCAAUAUCUCCGCAACAAUCUCGUGAACAGGGAAUCUUAGCCCAGCCUUUAAAAAGCUUUUGAAGAUGACAACCUCGUCCUUCUCUGGCUUCGGGGUGGUCUCUUCUCCCCCGAAGCGAAGUAGCUUCUUCUGAUCUUCACUGAAAAAACCUGCUUUCACCAUCUUGGCGAGAUCAACCUUUGAAACAGUCGAUUUUCCGAAGUCUAGGUGGCUGGGUUUGCUGGGCAUGGCAAUACGGUAGUCAUCUUCGGAGUCGGUUUCUUCAAUGUUCCCUUCUCCUUCGGCAGCUGUCGGGUUUGCUUCGGCAGCAGGCAUUUCUUCCGCAGUCACCAGUCCGGAGCGCUGCAUCGCUUCGGAGAUGGGCACAGUCUCCGAAGCUUCAGUUUCGUCCCCCUCACGCUCAACCCUAGCUGUAGAGCGAACUCUGGCCAUUUAAUUAUGAACUUGUGAAACUUUGAUACUUUUUUCUCCGAAGCAGGCUUCAAGAUGGAGCUUCGUUCAAAUCUGACAAACAAGCUUCGGUGAUGGUUAAAAAUUUUGGCAGCAAAACAGUGCAAAUAGCAGUAAAUGCUGUGGUAACUUCACACCUACUCGUCUGUUUAUAUAGUGCUGCAGGUAAGAAGGCGAAGCGGCAGGGUUUUUACACCAGGCGGGCAGUAACUUGUACUCGCUGCGCAGUGGACCGCAAAGACCAAACAGUGACUCUGCAAGGUGGGACCGACACGAUCUCGGGAAAUGAAUCGUUUCUCGGCAACGAGCUCAGGGAAGGUGUUUUUUGGACCUUCGGCUUCCCGAAGCUUGAGAGGAUUUUUUCACGGUUCAAGCUCGUUACGAAAAACGAUCUAGCGCCGCGAAAGGGGCUACUGUUGGGCCCAUGCUUCGUUGCGCCGAAGGUCUUGCGUGAAGAAGCAGCUUCGGCUGAAAUCGUCCCCAGGAAAUGGCCGAAGGUUCCUUUUUAUAGAGCUUCGGCGUUGCAAACCGACAUAAAGAUAGAAUGACCUUUUUAUCCUUAGAGGUCUAAGAUAAUGUUGUAAACUUUUGUAAAGGGCAUAAUUGUAAUUCGUCACAGGCUGCGUCCUGUGUCUAUAAAUAGAUGAACAGUACCCCCGUACUGUUCACACGCUGACUUGGCAUUUGCUUUUGCGUCACGCUUGUACUUUUUACCUUCUCUCAGGACCGAAGGUACAUUUGUAAUUUGAAAUCAUUUCUAUUUUUCCAUGUUAAUAAAAUAGAAAUGAUUCUAUGAUGAUGCUUAUAUUAUAUUUCAUGCUUUAUAUGAGUCCUUCGUCAUUACUUGUUAUGUUUACGAAGGUAUGUCUCUUAUGACCUUCGUCCGAAAUUCAUUAUUUCCCGAAGGGACAUAAUGCUUCGAAGGACGAAGGACUUUAACACUUAACACUUUUUAUGUUGCCUUGUUCUUAACUCUUAGCAUUUGAGAACAAGUCCCCAACACAACCCAUGUCAUCUUCUCCUACCAGCCACUCAGCACGGCGGCGCAGUCCACCACGGCGGCGCGCCAAGACAGCACAACGGCGCCCUGCCUGCCGCGCAUAAUCCCCCAAUUUCCUAAUCGAGCGGAGCUACACGAUCCAGGGAAUACUACGAAUCUAAAGGGAGAGCCCUUACCAGCGAUUAUGCCGCAGGGGCAUGCCCCCACGAAGCAGGGUGAGGUCGCGACGGCCCAUGACUUCGGCGAGGAAUCACCCAACUCCGGCCACUCCGCACAGGCACCACACGGCAAACGGUGAAUCGGUGACGCGCACAGCGGCUUCCUCCCCGGUGCUUUCUCUCACGCGACGAGGGUGCACGCACGUACCCAGGUGGACGCGUAUGGCCCGGCGGCAUCACUCCCACCCGAGCGAACAGCCGAGGCCAUGCGGCUUCACAUGCAGGCAUCGGCGCAUGUACUCUCACUCUUCCUCGCUUGCCAAUGGCGGCAUCCUGCGCUGCGUUUG